rnacentral:rRNA from 1 species
GACGAACGCUGGCGGCGUGCUUAACACAUGCAAGUCGAACGGAAAGGCCCUGCUUUUGUGGGGUGCUCGAGUGGCGAACGGGUGAGUAACACGUGAGUAACCUGCCCUUGACUUUGGGAUAACUUCAGGAAACUGGGGCUAAUACCGGAUAGGAGCUCCUGCUGCAUGGUGGGGGUUGGAAAGUUUCGGCGGUUGGGGAUGGACUCGCGGCUUAUCAGCUUGUUGGUGGGGUAGUGGCUUACCAAGGCUUUGACGGGUAGCCGGCCUGAGAGGGUGACCGGCCACAUUGGGACUGGGAAACGGCCCAGACUCCUACGGGGGGAAGCAGGGGGGAAUAUUGCAAAAUGGGCGGAAGCCUGAUGCAGCAACCCCGCGUGCGGGAUGACGGCCUUCGGGUUGUAAACCUCUUUCGCCUGUGACGAAGCGUGGGUGACGGUAAUGGGGAAAGAAACACCGGCUAACUACGU